GAUGAACGCUGGCGGCGUGCCUAAUACAUGCAAGUAGAACGCUGAAGGAGGAUCUUGCUCUUCUGGAGGAGUUGCGAACGGGUGAGUAACGCGUAGGUAACCUGCCUGGUAGCGGGGGAUAACUAUUGUAAACGAUAGCUAAUACCGCAUGACAACAGUUAUUGCAUGAUAACUAUUUAAAAGGGGUACCUUCUCAACAACCAAAGGUACUUCCGUUGUAUUAGCUAGUUGGUGAGGUAACGGCUCACCAAGGCGACGAUACAUAGCCGACCUGAGAGGGUGAUCGGCCACACUGGGACUGAGACACGGCCCAGACUCCUACGGGAGGCAGCAGUAGGGAAUCUUCGGCAAUGGACGGAAGUCUGACCGAGCAACGCCGCGUGAGUGAAGAAGGUUUUCGGAUCGUAAAGCUCUGUUGUAAGAGAAGAACGAGGGUGAGAGUGGAAAGUUCACACUGUGACGGUAUCUUACCAGAAAGAGACGGCUAACUACGUG
rnacentral:rRNA from 1 species